AAAAAAAAUAAAAUAAAAAAACAAGAAACGGAAUUGUAACUUGUGGCAGUGUUCUGUCCAUGCAUACACCACGUUCCAUCUAUGUCACAGGUUACCAUAUGAUUACUUUUGAUAAACAGUUUCGUGGGUCCUUCAUCAAAUAUUUUGUGGUUCUUAUGUAAUGGAGGUUUUUCUAACACAACUUGAAGCAUCUCUUUUCAG
rnacentral:misc_RNA from 1 species